UACCUGGGUUUGACAUGUAUGGAUUAGUUUCUGGAAACAGGAAUGACAGUCGCAAGAUUGGAACAUGCACAGGUGCUGCAUGGCUGUCGUCAGCUCGUGCUGUGAAGCGUCGGGUUAAGUCCUCUAACGAGCGCAACCCUUGUCGCUAGUUACCAUCAGGUUAUGCUGGGGACUCUAGCGAGACUGCCGGUGUCAAACCGGAGGAAGGCGGGGAUGACGUCAAGUCCUCAUGGCCCUUACACCCAGGGUUGCACACGUGCUACAAUGGUGCAUACAGAGCGAAGCAAGACCGCAAGGUGGAGCAAAUCGCAAAAAAUGCACCCCAGUUCGGAUUGCAGGCUGCAACCCGCCUGCAUGAAGCCGGAAUCGCUAGUAAUCGGGGAUCAGCUACGCCCCGGUGAAUGUGUUCCUGAGCCUUGUACACACCGCCCGUCAAGUCAUGGGAGCCGGUAGUGCCCAAAGCCGCCAGAUUUCACUGGCGACCACGGCAAGAUCGGUGACUGGGACUAAGUCGUAACAAGGUAACCGUAAAUCGAAUCCCGCGGCCGCCGGCGGCCGGAGCU
rnacentral:rRNA from 1 species